AGAGUGGAGCGGUAGGGCGCGGCUAUCUGAAUUAAAAAACAGAUAGUCGAGGAAAGUCCGGACUCCGUGGGCAGGAUACCGGAUAACUUCCGGGAGGAGUGAUCCUCGGAAAGGGCCAUAGAAACGGAAACCACCUGCUUAAAGAGCAGGUAAGGGUGGAAAGGUGAGGUAAGAGCUCACCAGGCAUGGAGCAAUCCAUGCGCUUGGCAACCCCUAUCCGGAGCAAGGCCAAGCAGGGAUUGGGUGGCUCCGCCUAUAUCCCGGGUAGGCUGCUUAAGAGACUCGGUAACGGAUCUCUUAGAUAGAUGCCCUACAAAACAGAAUCCGGCUUAUCGCUCCACUCUCUUU
rnacentral:RNase_P_RNA from 1 species